rnacentral:rRNA from 1 species
AGGGUUUGAUCAUGGCUCAGAACGAACGCUGGCGGCGUACAUAACACAUGCAAGUCGAACGAGAAAUUCCGCUUCGGCGGGAGAGUAAAGUGGCGAACGGGUGAGUAACACAAGGGUAAUCUGCCCUUAAAUUAGGGAUAACCUUGCGAAAGCGAAGCUAAUACCUGAUAAGACUACGACCUCUUAGGGGGUUGUAGGAAAAGAUGGCCUCUGUUUUAAGCUAUCGUUUAAGGAUGAGCCCUUGCACUAUUAGCUUGUUGGUGGGGUAACGGCCUACCAAGGCUACGAUGGUUAGUUGGUCUGAGAGGAUGACCAGCCACACUGGAACUGAGACACGGUCCAGACUCCUACGGGAGGCAGCAGUGAGGAAUAUUGCGCAAUGGGGGAAACCCUGACGCAGUGACGCCGCGUGAGUGAUGAAGGCUUUCGAGUCGUAAAGCUCUGUUAGGUGGAAAGAAACAUUCCAGUGCCAAUACCACUGGAACUUGACGGUACCACCAGAGGAAGCACCGGCUAACUCCGUGCCAGCAGCCGCGGUAAUACGGAGGGUGCAAGCGUUGUUCGGAAUUACUGGGCGUAAAGGGCGUGUAGGCGGUUAGGCAAGUCAGGUGUGAAAUCCCUUGGCUCAACCAAGGAAGUGCGCUUGAAACUGCUUAACUAGAGUACAGGAGGGGAAAGUGGAAUUCCCAGUGUAGAGGUGAAAUUCAUAGAUAUUGGGAGGAACACCGGUAGCGAAGGCGGCUUUCUGGCCUGAUACUGACGCUGAGACGCGAAAGCGUGGGGAGCAAACAGGAUUAGAUACCCUGGUAGUCCACGCCGUAAACGAUGUGCACUAGGUGUAGGAAGUGUUGACCCUUUCUGUGCCGAAGCUAACGCAUUAAGUGCACCGCCUGGGGAGUACGGUCG